rnacentral:SRP_RNA from 1 species
GCCGGGCGCGGUGGUGUGCGCCUAUAGUCCCAGCUACUCGGGAGGCUGAGGCAGGAGGAUCGCUUGAGCCCAGGAGUUCUGGGCUGUAGUGCGCUAUGCCGAUCGGGUGUCCGCACUAAGUUCGGCAUCAAUAUGGUGACCUCCCGGGAGCGGGGGACCACCAGGUUGCCUAAGGAGGGGUGAACCGGCCCAGGUCAGAAAUGCAGAGAAAGCCCCACAGGCCCCUGCCCAUGUAAUAUUUCGUGGCCACGUGGAUCCCAUCCCCUGACACUAUAAAACUCACCCUGUGUUCGCAGGCAGGGCCUCAC